CGUGGCUCACUGGUUAUUUAAGGCUGCAUUGCUUUAUUUCCAUAUACUCAAAAAAGUUUUCCAAAUUAUUGUUUUUAUUUAUUUCAGUUUAUUUAAAAAAUGUACUCUACCAUUGUCAGAGAACAUAUUUUGUAUGACUUGGGCUCCUGUAGACUUACUGGAGCCUUUCUCAUAGUUUAGAAUAUGGUCUGUUCUGGGGAACGUUCUAUGUGCAUUUGACAGGAGUGUCCACUCUGCUCUUGACGUGUGGAAUGUUCUGUCUGGUAGCAGGCAUCUUUUCAGCUCAUGCAAGUAAAACAAUUCUGGGGUGGUAGAGUGCUUGUCUAGUAUGCUCCAGAGUCUGGGGUCAAUCCCUGGUCAUACAUAUUCCUAUAAACCUCCAAACACAAUUGUCUAUAGUCUUUCUUACUGAGACCACACAGUCUCUCUCCAGAGCUGCUUAGGUACCUCAUACAGAUCUAAGCAUUAGAUAAGAUCUUCUCUCUCUCUCUCUCUCUCUCUCUCUCUCUCUCUCUCUCUCUCUCUCUCUCUCACACACACACACACACACACACACACUUCUACCCCUCUUCUGUGCCCAGAAAACUGUACUUCUCCCCUAUGUUUCCCAGUCACUUUUCUCUGCCUCUCCCCACCCCCUUCUACCAUUAAAUCUAUAGAAAGUUAUAGCUCUUCCUUAACAU
rnacentral:lncRNA from 1 species